rnacentral:rRNA from 1 species
UGCCAGCAGCCGCGGUAAUACGGAGGGGGUUAGCGUUGUUCGGAAUUACUGGGCGCAAAGCGCGCGUAGGCGGAUUGGAAAGUUGGGGGUGAAAUCCCAGGGCUCAACCCUGGAACUGCCUUCGAUACUGGUAGUCUUGAGGUCGAGAGAGGUGAGUGGAAUUCCGAGUGUAGAGGUGAAAUUCGUAGAUAUUCGGAGGAACACCAGUGGCGAAGGCGGCUUUCUGGACCGAUACUGACGCUGAGACGCGAAAGCGUGGGGAGCAAACAGGAUUAGAUA